rfam:Enterobacter sp. 638, complete genome.
UUUUCCGUGUUAAAUCCGGGUUUUGUAAGGAUAACGACGGAAUGACCAAUUUUGUCUGACCGAUCAUCAACGCAGCAAUGGCGUAAGACGUAUUGAUCUUUCAGACAGUUAGCGGGCUGCGGGUUGCAGUACUUACCGGUAAAUGGAAUCUUCUCUGGAGAGUUCUCCCAGGCUGUUCCCCUGAUAAUUGCGCUGUAUUUCCUUAUGAAAAACAGGCAACCGACACUUUGCGCCUCUUAAACGAGCGACAACCGUGAGGUUGGCGACGUCACAGUCACGAGGCCAUCGGUUCAUACCCCGGAAAGCGUCACCUUGCCCGCAGCUUAGUCGUCAA